CCUACGGGGGGCAGCAGUGAGGAAUAUUGGUCAAUGGACGAGAGUCUGAACCAGCCAAGUAGCGUGAAGGAUGACUGCCCUAUGGGUUGUAAACUUCUUUUAUAUGGGAAUAAAAUGUUCCACGUGUGGGAUUUUGUAUGUACCAUAUGAAUAAGGAUCGGCUAACUCCGUGCCAGCAGCCGCGGUAAUACGGAGGAUCCGAGCGUUAUCCGGAUUUAUUGGGUUUAAAGGGAGCGUAGGUGGAUUGUUAAGUCAGUUGUGAAAGUUUGCGGCUCAACCGUAAAAUUGCAGUUGAAACUGGCAGUCUUGAGUACAGUAGAGGUGGGCGGAAUUCGUGGUGUAGCGGUGAAAUGCUUAGAUAUCAUGAAGAACUCCGAUUGCGAAGGCAGUUCACUGGACUGCAACUGACACUGAGGCUCGAAAGUGUGGGUAUCAAACAGGAUUAGAUACCCUAGUAGUC
rnacentral:rRNA from 1 species